rnacentral:rRNA from 1 species
UUUAUGGAGAGUUUGAUCCUGGCUCAGGAUGAACGCUGGCGGCGUGCCUAAUACAUGCAAGUCGAGCGAACAGAUAAGGAGCUUGCUCCUUUGACGUUAGCGGCGGACGGGUGAGUAACACGUGGGUAACCUACCUAUAAGACUGGGAUAACUUCGGGAAACCGGAGCUAAUACCGGAUAACAUUUGGAACCGCAUGGUUCUAAAGUGAAAGAUGGUUUUGCUAUCACUUAUAGAUGGACCCGCGCCGUAUUAGCUAGUUGGUAAGGUAACGGCUUACCAAGGCGACGAUACGUAGCCGACCUGAGAGGGUGAUCGGCCACACUGGAACUGAGACACGGUCCAGACUCCUACGGGAGGCAGCAGUAGGGAAUCUUCCGCAAUGGGCGAAAGCCUGACGGAGCAACGCCGCGUGAGUGAUGAAGGGUUUCGGCUCGUAAAACUCUGUUAUUAGGGAAGAACAAAUGUGUAAGUAACUGUGCACGUCUUGACGGUACCUAAUCAGAAAGCCACGGCUAACUACGUGCCAGCAGCCGCGGUAAUACGUAGGUGGCAAGCGUUAUCCGGAAUUAUUGGGCGUAAAGCGCGCGUAGGCGGUUUCUUAAGUCUGAUGUGAAAGCCCACGGCUCAACCGUGGAGGGUCAUUGGAAACUGGGAAACUUGAGUGCAGAAGAGGAAAGUGGAAUUCCAUGUGUAGCGGUGAAAUGCGCAGAGAUAUGGAGGAACACCAGUGGCGAAGGCGACUUUCUGGUCUGUAACUGACGCUGAUGUGCGAAAGCGUGGGGAUCAAACAGGAUUAGAUACCCUGGUAGUCCACGCCGUAAACGAUGAGUGCUAAGUGUUAGGGGGUUUCCGCCCCUUAGUGCUGCAGCUAACGCAUUAAGCACUCCGCCUGGGGAGUACGACCGCAAGGUUGAAACUCAAAGGAAUUGACGGGGACCCGCACAAGCGGUGGAGCAUGUGGUUUAAUUCGAAGCAACGCGAAGAACCUUACCAAAUCUUGACAUCCUUUGAAAACUCUAGAGGAGCCUUCCCCUUCGGGGGACAAAGUGACAGGUGGUGCAUGGUUGUCGUCAGCUCGUGUCGUGAGAUGUUGGGUUAAGUCCCGCAACGAGCGCAACCCUUAAGCUUAGUUGCCAUCAUUAAGUUGGGCACUCUAGGUUGACUGCCGGUGACAAACCGGAGGAAGGUGGGGAUGACGUCAAAUCAUCAUGCCCCUUAUGAUUUGGGCUACACACGUGCUACAAUGGACAAUACAAAGGGCAGCUAAACCGCGAGGUCAUGCAAAUCCCAUAAAGUUGUUCUCAGUUCGGAUUGUAGUCUGCAACUCGACUACAUGAAGCUGGAAUCGCUAGUAAUCGUAGAUCAGCAUCUACGGUGAAUACGUUCCCGGGUCUU